rnacentral:rRNA from 2 species
GGGUUGUGAGGUUAAGCGACUAAGCGUACACGGUGGAUGCCCUGGCAGUCAGAGGCGAUGAAGGGCGUGCUAAUCUGCGAUAAGCGCCGGUAAGGUGAUAUGAACCGUUAUAACCGGCGAUACCCGAAUGGGGAAACCCAGUGUGAUUCGUCACACUAUCAUUAACUGAAUCCAUAGGUUAAUGAGGCGAACCGGGGGAACUGAAACAUCUA